rnacentral:rRNA from 1 species
CCUACGGGAGGCAGCAGUGAGGAAUAUUGGUCAAUGGACGGAAGUCUGAACCAGCCAUGCCGCGUGCAGGAAGACGGCUCUAUGAGUUGUAAACUGCUUUUGUACAAGGGUAAACCUGAAUACGUGUAUUCAGCUGAAAGUACUGUACGAAUAAGGAUCGGCUAACUCCGUGCCAGCAGCCGCGGUAAUACGGAGGAUCCAAGCGUUAUCCGGAUUUAUUGGGUUUAAAGGGUGCGUAGGCGGAUUGGUAAGUUAGAGGUGAAAUGUCCGAGCUUAACUCGGGAACUGCCUCUGAUACUGUUGGUCUAGAGUGUAGAUGCGGUAGGCGGAAUGUAUGGUGUAGCGGUGAAAUGCUUAGAGAUCAUACAGAACACCGAUUGCGAAGGCAGCUUACCAAUCUAUAUCUGACGUUGAGGCACGAAAGCGUGGGGAGCAAACAGGAUUAGAUACCCGAGUAGUC